rnacentral:rRNA from 1 species
GAUGAACGCUGGCGGCGUGCCUAAUACAUGCAAGUCGAGCGAACGGACGAGAAGCUUGCUUUUCUGAUGUUAGCGGCGGACGGGUGAGUAACACGUGGAUAACCUACCUAUAAGACUGGGAUAACUUCGGGAAACCGGAGCUAAUACCGGAUAAUAUUUUGAACCGCAUGGUUCAAAAGUGAAAGACGGUCUUGCUGUCACUUAUAGAUGGAUCCGCGCUGCAUUAGCUAGUUGGUAAGGUAACGGCUUACCAAGGCAACGAUGCAUAGCCGACCUGAGAGGGUGAUCGGCCACACUGGAACUGAGACACGGUCCUGACUCCUACGGGAGGCAGCAGUAGGGAAUCUGCCGCAAUGGGCGAAAGCCUGACGGAGCAACGCCGCGUGAGUGAUGAAGGUCUUCGGAUCGUAAAACUCUGUUAUUAGGGAAGAACAUAUGUGUAAGUAACUGUGCACAUCUUGACGGUACCUAAUCAGAAAGCCACGGCUAACUACGUG